rnacentral:tRNA from 1 species
AUUUAUGUAGUUUAAAAUAAAACAAUUUAUUUUCAAUAAAUAAAUAAGGACUAACCUUCAUAAAUU